UGGCAGACGGGUGAGUAACGCGUGGGAAUCUACCCAAUUCUUCGGAACAACUGAGGGAAACUUCAGCUAAUACCGGAUACGCCCUACGGGGGAAAGAUUUAUCGGAAUUGGAUGAGCCCGCGUUGGAUUAGCUAGUUGGUGAGGUAAUGGCUCACCAAGGCGACGAUCCAUAGCUGGUCUGAGAGGAUGAUCAGCCACACUGGGACUGAGACACGGCCCAG
rnacentral:rRNA from 1 species